UGCACAGUGAUCAUGCCUAAUGGUGAUUGGGGAACAAUACAGAGAAGAUUAGCAGGGCCCUUGUGCAAGGAUGACACAUAAAUCUGAUAAGCAUUCCAUAUUUUA